rnacentral:lncRNA from 1 species
UAACAUUUACAACUAGCCUAAACAUGCAUCAAAACCCCUUAACCCUUCAUAAAACUUACUUAAAAACAUAAGAGAAGAUGAGGAUCUACACUUACCUCUUGAAGAUCGAGAGGAGAUGCGAUCCCAAACUUGGAGAUAUGGAGGAACGAGCUCCGGGGGUCUCCAAGCUUCAAAACUUUGAUCUUAGCUUAAAAUCUUCAAAACA